GUGGGGAAUAUUGGACAAUGGGCGAAAGCCUGAUCCAGCCAUGCCGCGUGUGUGAAGAAGGUCUUCGGAUUGUAAAGCACUUUAAGUUGGGAGGAAGGGCAGUAAGUUAAUACCUUGCUGUUUUGACGUUACCAACAGAAUAAGCACCGGCUAACUUCGUGCCAGCAGCCGCGGUAAUACGAAGGGUGCAAGCGUUAAUCGGAAUUACUGGGCGUAAAGCGCGCGUAGGUGGUUCAGCAAGUUGAAGGUGAAAUCCCCGGGCUCAACCUGGGAACUGACUCCAAAACUACUGAGCUAGAGUACGGUAGAGGGUAGUGGAAUUUCCUGUGUAGCGGUGAAAUGCGUAGAUAUAGGAAGGAACACCAGUGGCGAAGGCGACUACCUGGACUGAUACUGACACUGAGGUGCGAAAGCGUGGGGAGCAAACAGGAUUAGAACCCGUGUAGUCC
rnacentral:rRNA from 1 species